rnacentral:rRNA from 1 species
CGUGCAUAACACAUUCAAGUCGAACGGAACUCAAUCAAUUAAUCCUUCGGGAAGCGUUGAGCGAGUUUAGUGGCGGACGGGUGAGUAACGCGAGAGCAACCUGCCUCUGUAUGUGGAAUAACGUCGGGAAACUGACGCUAAUACCGCAUAACGCAUAGAAGUCGCAUGUCUUUUAUGCCAAAGAUUUAUUGUACAGAGAUGGGCUCGCGUCUGAUUAGGUAGUUGGUGAGGUAACGGCCCACCAAGCCGACGAUCAGUAGCCGGACUGAGAGGUUGAACGGCCACAUUAGAACUGAGAUACGGUCCAGACUCCUACGGGAGGCAGCAGUGGGGAAUAUUGGGCAAUGGGCGAAAGCCUGACCCAGCGACGCCGCGUGAGGGAAGAAGGUCUUCGGAUUGUAAACCUUUGUUGAUGGGGAUGAAGAAAGUGACGGUACCCAUCGAGGAAGCCACGGCUAACUACGUGCCAGCCGCCGCCGUAAUAC